GACGAACCGAGCGAACGUUGUUCGGAAUCACUGGGCUUAAAAGGGCGCGUAGGCGGGCUGCCAAGUUUGGGGUGAAAUCCUCCGGCUCAACCGGGGAAGGGCCUCGAAUACUGGCGGUCUGGAGGGAGGUAGGGGCGUGCGGAACUGUAGGUGGAGCGGUGAAAUGCGUUGAUAUCUACAGGAACUCCGGUGGCGAAGGCGGCACGCUGGACCUUUUCUGACGCUGAGGCGCGAAAGCCCAGGGGAGCGGAACGGG
rnacentral:rRNA from 1 species